GACGAACGCUGGCGGCGUGCUUAACACAUGCAAGUCGAACGGAAAGGCCUCUUUCGGGGGGUACUCGAGUGGCGAACGGGUGAGUAACACGUGAGUAACCUGCCCUUGACUUUGGGAUAACUUCAGGAAACUGGGGCUAAUACCGGAUAGGAGCUCCUGCUGCAUGGUGGGGGUUGGAAAGUUUCGGCGGUUGGGGAUGGACUCGCGGCUUAUCAGCUUGUUGGUGGGGUAGUGGCUUACCAAGGCUUUGACGGGUAGCCGGCCUGAGAGGUGACCGGCCACAUUGGGACUGAGAUACGGCCCAGACUCCUACGGGAGGCAGCAGUGGGGAAUAUUGCACAAUGGGUGGAAGCCUGAUGCAGCAACGCCGUGUGCGGGAUGACGGCCUUCGGGUUGUAAACCGCUUUCGCUCAUGACGAAGCUUUGUGUGACGGUAGUGGGUAAAGAAGCACCGGCUAACUACGUG
rnacentral:rRNA from 1 species